rnacentral:rRNA from 1 species
GAAGGCCUUCGGGUUGUAAAGCACUUUAAGCAGGGAGAAAAAGUUAUAAGUUAAUACCUUAUAACCGUGAUGUUACCUGCAGAAUAAGCACCGGCUAAUUCCGUGCCAGCAGCCGCGGUAAUACGGAAGGUGCAAGCGUUAAUCGGAAUUACUGGGCGUAAAGCGCGCGUAGGUGGUUUGUUAAGUUGGAUGUGAAAGCCCUGGGCUCAACCUAGGAACUGCAUCCAAAACUAACUCACUAGAGUACGAUAGAGGGAGGUAGAAUUCAUAGUGUAGCGGUGGAAUGCGUAGAUAUUAUGAAGAAUACCAGUGGUGAAGGCGGCCUCCUGGAUCUUUACUGACACUGAGGUGCGAAAGCGUGGGUAGCGAACAGGAUUAGAUACUCUGGUAGUCCACGCCGUAAACGAUGACAACUAGCUGUUGGGAGACAAUGUCUUUCAGUGGCGCAGCUAACGUUU